UGACUAUUCGCUCUGACAGUGGCGUAGCUAGCGGUCCCGCUGUCCCACCUGGCGGGACUAACAAUUUGCAAAAAAAUGAGGAAAUGUUUUAUAGUGAAGCUUUGCUUAUUCUGAACAUUUAAAUACUAAUUAUGAUCAUUUUUCAGUGCUUUCAUUUGUCAUUUAUUUAAAGUUUACGCAAUAUUGACCUCUUUGUUGUCUAGCAACUGAUACCCUGCAGAAUUAGCUAAUUUCCACGCAAUUUAUUGCUUACUCACGCAUUUCGUGAAUCGCAUGUCUCGUGUUCCGCUGAUUUUCAUGUGGCGGAAUAUGCAAAUUCUGGUUUCUGGUUGGAUAAUUGGCGCAGCGCAUGCCCAGAACGGUUGUUUUCAUUGCCGAAGUCCGCUAUUUUAUGAAGGCGGAGGUUGUUAAUAUUCAAACCUUUCUCACGAAGCUUUCUGCGCGAGUAUUCACGACUGGGCUAUCUUUAAAACAGGGAAUCCGGGAAUCGGGGAAUCCGGGAAUCAGGGAAUCGGGGAAUCCGGGAAUCGGGGAAUCCGGGAAUCGGGGAAUCCGGGAAUCGGGGAAUCCG